AUGAAAAAUGUGUGUCUAUGUCUAAUGACUGAAUCAUUUGAAAUAUCUCUGUAUCUUUCUCUCUCUUUCUCUCUCUUAAUCCAUCUUCCACUGUGGAUGGAGUCUAGAGAUCAUAAUUGGCACAAUACUUCCUACAACAUUCUACUAAGUCCUCUUUAUCAAGACUUUAUUUCAAACUAUGUCAGAUUGGGUGGCAAGAUAGGAAAUAGUUUCUGUCCCCCAGUUCUUCAAUGUUGUGGAACAUAUGGAAUCCACUGACUUCAGGAAAUAUUUUCAGAGCACACACAUAUUUCUUCAAGACGUUAACAUCCCAUGGGAGGAGGAGGAAUAAAAACAUGACAGGGAGUAAUUUAAAAUGGCA
rnacentral:lncRNA from 1 species